CUAUAGUAUGGGUAACUAUACUCACCAUGCUAUAUAUUAGAUCCCUAGAACUCAUUAAUCUUAUAAAUGAAAGUUUGUACCCUUUGACCAAGAUCUCUCCAUUUCCUUCACUCCCCAGCCCC